rnacentral:rRNA from 1 species
GAUGAACGCUAGCUACAGGCUUAACACAUGCAAGUCGCGGGGUAACAUCUGGUAGAGCUUGCUCUUCCAGGAUGACGACCGGCGCACGGGUGAGUAACGCGUAUCCAACCUGGCCCAUACCACGGGAUAGCCCGUCGAAAGGCGGAUUAAUACCGUAUGCUGUCAUUAAGAUGCAUAUAUUGAUGACGAAAGGACUGGCGGUAUGGGAUGGGGAUGCGUCUGAUUAGCUUGUUGGCGGGGUAACGGCCCACCAAGGCGACGAUCAGUAGGGGUUCUGAGAGGAAGGUCCCCCCACAUUGGAACUGAGACACGGUCCAAACUCCUACGGGAGGCAGCAGUGAGGAAUAUUGGUCAAUGGGCGCAAGCCUGAACCAGCCAAGUAGCGUGAGGGAAGACUGCCCCUACGGGUUGUAAAACCCGUCUUUUGUUUGGGAAUAAAGUGCGGGACGCGUCCCGCAUUGCAUGUACCAUUUGAAUAAGGUACCGGCUAAUUCCGUGCCAGCAGCCG